rnacentral:rRNA from 1 species
CCCACAAGGGUUCUCAGCAGUGAUUAACAUUAAGAAUAAACGUCAGUUUGACUUAGCCAAAAUAUACAGAGCCGGCCAAUCUGGUGCCAGCCGCCGCGGUUACACCAUGUGACUCAAAUUGAUUUUAGCACGGCGUAAAGCGUGAUUAAAGAGACACCUCCUGGGGUUAAAAUUAAAUUAAACUGUCGCACGAUUAUUCCCAAGAAACCCAUAAUCGAAAGAUACCCCAAUACACCAACUUGAAUUCACGACAACUAGGGUACAAACUGGGAUCAGGUACCCCACUAUGCCUAGUCGUAAACUUUAACUUACACCUCAUCGCCAGGGAACUACGAGCUAAGCUUAAAACCCAAAGGACUUGACGGUGCCCCACAUCCUUCUAGAGGAGCCUGUCCUAUAAUCGAUACUCCACGUUCAACCUUACCACUUUUAGCUUAUCAGCCUGUAUACUUCCGUCGUCAGCUUACCGCGUGAGCGAGCAGUAAACUCAAUGUCACUCAUCAACACAUCAGGUCAAAGUGCAGCUCAUAAACUGGCAAGAGAUGGGCUACACUUUCUACCUUAGAAGACACGAAAGAUUAUGUGAAACCAUAUUCAGAAGGCGGAUUUAGCAGUAAGAGCGGUCAGAAUACCCGCCCUUAACCUGGCCCUGGGGUGUGUACACACCGCCCGUCACCCUCUUCCACAACAACCUCCCCCAGUACUUAACAUCAGUCAAGCAGAAGAAGAGGUAAGUCGUAACACGGU